UGAGAGAUGGUAGCAUGCAUGCAUGUGGAGACUACCAAGGCAGACCAGAAGGGCUGUCUGUCUUCAGCCUGUCAACUUUGACUCCUUUUGAGAUGUCCAAAGAAACUGGCUGAAACUUGUUGUUGGGGCUGCAGCAUCAUGAAAGGAGACGAAUGAGUCACAGUCAACUUGAAGCUCUCCCUUCUUUUCUCUAUGUAAGGU
rnacentral:lncRNA from 1 species